rnacentral:rRNA from 1 species
CAAAAACAUUGCCUCAUGACCUAUCAAUAUGAGGUACCUCCUGCCCAGUGACCCUUAAACGGCCGCGGUAUCCUGACCGUGCAAAGGUAGCAUAAUAAUUUGCCUCCUAACUAGAGGCUAGAAUGAAUGGACAAACGAAAGCUUUAUUGUCUCUCAUAUAUUUUAAGAAAAUUAACCUUCAGGUGAAGAGGCCUGGAUUAAUCUAAAGGACAAAAAGACCCUAUCGAGCUUUACUUACAAUUUAUUCUAAUAUAUAAUAUAUCUAAUUCAUAAUAAGUUUAGUUGGGGCGACUAAGGACUACUCAAUUCUCUAAUAUUACCUUACUAAACGUCCUUCCAAUAAAGACCUUAAAGUCAAAGAAAUGAUCCAUCAACCCAAUGAACAUAUAACCAAGCUACCGUAGGGAUAACAGACUAAUCCUCCUAAAGAGCCCAAAUCGCCAGGAGGGAUUGGCACCUCGAUGUUGGCUUAGG